rnacentral:rRNA from 1 species
AGAGUUUGAUCAUGGCUCAGAACGAACGCUGGCGGCGUGUCUUAAGCAUGCAAGUCGAGCGGCAGGCGCAGCAAUGCGCUGAGAGCGGCGGACGGGUGAGUAACGCGUGGGUAAUCUACCUUUGGCAUGGGGAUAGCCACUAGAAAUAGUGGGUAAUACCGAAUACGUUCCCUGGGGGGAGGUUUCAGGGAAGAAAGGGUGCUACGGCACCGGCCAAAGAUGAGCUCGCGUCCCAUUAGCUAGUUGGUGAGGUAAUGGCCCACCAAGGCGAUGAUGGGUAGCCGGCCUGAGAGGGUGUACGGCCACACUGGGACUGAGAUACGGCCCAGACUCCUACGGGAGGCAGCAGCUAAGAAUAUUCCGCAAUGGACGAAAGUCUGACGGAGCGACGCCGCGUGGAUGAUGAAGGCCGAAAGGUUGUAAAGUCCUUUUGCUGGGGAAGAAUAAGUGUGGGAGGGAAUGCCCGCAUGAUGACAUGAACCGGCGAAUAAGCCCCGGCCAACUACGUGCCAGCAGCCGCGGUAACACGUAGGGGGCGAGCGUUGUUCGGAAUUACUGGGCGUAAAGGGCAUGUAGGCGGUCUGGUAAGCCUGGCGUGAAAGGCCACAGCUCAACUGUGGGAUUGCGUUGGGAACUGCUGGGCUUGAGUUAUGGAGAGGGAG